AUUGAACGCUGGCGGCAUGCUUUACACAUGCAAGUCGAACGGUAACAGGCCGCAAGGUGCUGUCGAGUGGCGAACGGGUGAGUAAUGCAUCGGAACGUGCCCAGUCGUGGGGGAUAACUACUCGAAAGAGUAGCUAAUACCGCAUACGAUCUAUGGAUGAAAGCGGGGGACCGUAAGGCCUCGCGCGAUUGGAGCGGCCGAUGUCAGAUUAGGUAGUUGGUGGGGUAAAGGCUCACCAAGCCAACGAUCUGUAGCUGGUCUGAGAGGACGACCAGCCACACUGGGACUGAGACACGGCCCAGACUCCUACGGGAGGCAGCAGUGGGGAAUUUUGGACAAUGGGCGCUAGCCUGAUCCAGCAAUGCCGCGUGCAGGAAGAAGGCCUUCGGGUUGUAAACUGCUUUUGUACGGAACGAAACGGCUCUGGUUAAUACCCGGGGCUAAUGACGGUACCGUAAGAAUAAGCACCGGCUAACUACGUG
rnacentral:rRNA from 1 species